GCCAGCGUGGCAUAGUGGUUUGAGUGGUGGAUCACAACUGUGGAGACCAGGGUUCGAGUCCCAGCUCGGCCA